AUAAAAUGAAGGUCCAAAAAUUGAACAUGCAGAGAAACACCAUAGCUCCAGACUUCGAGUCGCAAUGAAGGACUCAAGAAUCGAUAAUCAGAAACUCUAGAUGCUGAGAUCAGGAGGUGGUCGAAUCGAAUGAAUGCAAAGGAUAAUCGGCUCAUGCACAAGGAUUUUGAGUUACUAGGGAUUUGGGACUCCCUGACUUGAAUUUUUAAACAAUUGCAAUCUAAUUUUCUUUUAAGCAGUCAAAAAAUGUAUGACUGAAUUAAUAUC